rnacentral:tRNA from 1 species
GGCUCCGUAGCUCAGCCGGAUAGAGCAGCGAAUUCCUAAUUCGAAGGCCGUGGGUUCGAAUCCCGCCGGGGCCA